CUUCUCUUUCACUCUUGUCUAGAAACCUUGGACCACUGGACAAAACCCCAAGAGAGAUUGUCGGAAGAUGCUCUAACCAAUCCUGAGGAAAUCUGGUACACUGAUGGAAGCAGCUUUGUCUUAGAUGGAAAAAGAAGAGCCGGGAAUGCAGUAGUCUCCAAUGUUGAGACCACAGAGGCUAAGCCUCUGCCACCAGGUCAACAAGCUACAACAUGCAGUGCCAGUUCAACAAAGAUAUAAAACUACAGCCGACCACAGAAAAUAUCACUCACCCUUAAGUGGACACCGCUAUAAGGACUCUGAGGCUUGCAACUAGCAAGAGAGGGAGGCCCAAUACCCCUCGCCAUCCCAGUUCAGCAGGAAGUAGCCAAAAAGACCUCGAUGCCCCUAUUCCCAAAGAACUGGGCCUCCCAUCUCUUGAGGGGGGAAUGUUAGGUAGUUAGAAUAGGGAAAAGAAGUCCAAAAUGGCGGUGGCUAAAAGACAAGGAAGAGGAAAGCCCACAAAAAUUGAACAGAGGAAGGUCAAAGGGAGGUCCGAGGACCACAGUGAGGACUUCAGGUAGAACAGCACUCCUGACUAAGCCCAAUUUGCAUAGGGCAGGCCCAGGGGGAAGAAAAAAAAACAUAAAAAGAGGAGCCAAAGUGCUUUCUCUCUCUUUCUCUCCCUUCCCCGAGCACUGGCGUGCUCCUCCACUCUCUUCUCUUCGCAUCCUUGGGUUGGCAUGCCCUCAUGCUUGGAGGAUGGAUUCUCCUGCUAUCUUCUAACUAAAAUAGAGCUGUAACACUGAUUUGUCUAAGAGCUAUAACAUGGUUUGUCCAAGACCCAAGAGCUGUGACGCACCGAGGGCUUUAAUGUCCGUCGCUCCAAAUCUUUGUUGUGAUAAGCCAGAACCUAGGAGCAUACACUCGCCUGACAAUAAGAUAAUAACAACAGCAGUUGAACACUUACUAUGUUCUAGCAUGCGUGCAUGUUCAGUCGAUUCAGUCAUGUCUUUGUGACCCCAUAGACUGUAGCCCGCCAGGCUCCUCUGUCCACAGGAUUCUCCAGGCAAGGAUACUGGAGUGGGUUGCCACACCCUCCUCCAGGGGCUCUUCCUGACCCAGGGAUCAAACCUGUGUCUUCUGCAUUGCAGGCAGUUUCUUAAUGGCUGAGCCACUGGGGAAGCCCACUAUAUUCUAGGCAUUCCUAAGUACUUUCAUGUGUCAUAUCCCAUUUAAUCCCAUUUUUAUUCUAUUUCCGGAUUCUACAUUUGAAGAAACUGUUCCCAGUCUUGCAUUUGGAAGCUUGGACAUUGACUGGGGUUGGAGGUAUAUCUCCUUUACUCUGUGUCUUCGCUGAGGUGGUCCCAUAGGGAUACAGCUGGGAGCAGAGGUGAGAGCUGGAAAGACACAGAUGAGACAAAAAGGGUGUCUCCAUCAGUGCCGGAAUGCAUCCUGGGACAGCACCGGGCCAUCUCCAAGGGCUUUCAGGCAGCGUGUGUCCACCGUGUGGGGGUCCGGAGAAGAAGCAUUUGCUGGACCUGAGUCCCAGAAGAGGCCUGGGCCAUUGCACCGCACCCCUGCCCCCGCAGGAGCAGAGAGCGGACUGGAGCAUGCCGACUGCCUCCAGCAGAGAGUGUCCUCAGCCCUUAUUCCCAUUCACUUGAAACAUGAGCUAUGUGUGUUCUUAAGAGAUGUAAGCAGAAAUUAAGCCAAACGAUGCUUCCUUUUUGGCCUGUGUCUCUUCUCAAAUAAUCCCAAACCUUUAAGAAAAGCAGUAUGGUUAAAAUCACUAAAACUCAACAAAAGAAAAUCCUGAGCUUGGUUUUCGACCUUUGGAGUUGGAAGUGCCUUUAAACACCUAAGGAUGGGGAUCUGAGCCUUUCGCUGAGCCCAAGGAGAUGAGGAGAUGGGAGUCCUCUCCCCUGAAGAUCCAGGAUGAAUGCCAUCCCCAGGGAAGAGGAAAAGGUGGGAACCAGAGGGUCUGAUUGGUUGCCACUCUCUCCCCCUCCUCAUCCUGCCUCUGGCCAGCACUGUCCGGGGUCACCACACCUGUCCUGGUCCUUGGAUCUGCUGCCUCACCUCCUCCUUCUCUCCCUCCACAGACCCCUGAGGGAGGGUUCUCCCUGCAGGUCUCACACUCUCUAGAUGCCACCUGAGAAUUCUGAGUCACAAGCCACCAUCUAAUGAAAUCAGGUCGGCAGGUGGCUUGCAGGGGAUUGGCAGCCUAGCUGUUGCUCUGCAGCCCCAUCUCCCCCAGACCUGCUUUUGGGGGCCAGGAGGAAGGAGGAGCCAUCUCUGCAAAGUGGAUCCUGGCGACAGACCGUUCAACAGGACCCAGAAGACAGGGCAUGUCCAGGUCUAAGACCACCCACCGCUGGAUGCAGAGAAGCAGGAACUUGUAGGCUUGCACAGGAAACAGCAAAAGGCUAAAUUCAGCAAAAUUCCCUGAAAUGCAGGGAAUUUGUAACCCACUCAGAAGGUACUAUAGCACGUUAAUUAAGAGCGUGGAUUUUAGUCAGCCAGACCUGGAUGUGACUCCCACGCAAAUCUACAACGGACUAACUUGAAGACCUUGGACAAAAAAAAAAUCUCUGAACCUCAGUGAUCUCAUCUGGGGGAGUAUAUUGAAAUACAGAUUUAAGAAUUACCAGUUGGGGGAAAUAGUAUUUAAGGUCGGAAGUUGUGUUUGGAAGAUUGUAUAUGAGUAUUUUUAUAUUUAAAAAGUUUAAAGGCAAAAAAAAAGAUAAAAUCAAU
ensembl:lncRNA